rnacentral:RNase_P_RNA from 1 species
GAAGCGCGCCAGGCGAUCGCGCCCCGUCCGGGGUGAGGAAAGUCCGGGCUUUACAGGGCAAGGGUGCAGGAUAACGUCCUGUCGAGGAAACUCGAAGGAAAGUGCCACAGAAACAUACCGCUCGUCCCUUCGGGCGACGAGUAAGGGUGAAAUCGGGAGGUAAGAGCUCCCGGAGCGUCGCGGUGACGCGCGCUCGGGUAAACCCCACCUGAAGCAAGACCGCUCGAUACGCCUCGCAAGAGGGGGACUGCCCGUCCCUGCGAGCUAUGUCGCACCGAGGUGCGCGGUAACGCGCACCCCAGAGAGAUGAUCGCCCACCGCGCGGGAAACCGCCGGGGACAGAAUCCGGCUUACAGGCGCGCUUCGCAA